rnacentral:rRNA from 1 species
GAUGAACGCUAGCUACAGGCUUAACACAUGCAAGUCGAGGGGCAGCGGUAUCGAAAGCUUGCUUUCGGUAGCCGUCGACCGGCGCACGGGUGAGUAACGCGUAUCGAACCUGCCUCAUACUCGGGAAUAGCCUUGCGAAAGUAAGAUUAAUGCCCGGUGUUUUCAGAGUCCCGCAUGAGGCUUUGAACAAAGAUUUAUCGGUAUGAGAUGGCGAUGCGUCCCAUUAGCUUGUUGGCGGGGUAACGGCCCACCAAGGCAUCGAUGGGUAGGGGUUCUGAGAGGAAGGUCCCCCACAUUGGAACUGAGACACGGUCCAAACUCCUACGGGAGGCAGCAGUGAGGAAUAUUGGUCAAUGGGCGGAAGCCUGAACCAGCCAAGUAGCGUGCAGGAAGACGGCCCUCCGGGUUGUAAACUGCUUUUAGUUGGGAAUAAAACGGGGCUCGUGAGCCCCCUUGCAUGUACCAUCAGAAAAAGGACCGGCUAAUUCCGUG